rnacentral:rRNA from 1 species
UCAGGAUGAACGCUAGCUACAGGCUUAACACAUGCAAGUCGAGGGGCAGCAUGAAGUUUGCUUGCAAACUUUGAUGGCGACCGGCGCACGGGUGAGUAACGCGUAUCCAACCUUCCCUAUACUAGAGGAUAGCCCGGCGAAAGUCGGAUUAAUACUCUAUGUUCUUCGUAGAAGACAUCUGAAAUGAAGCAAAGGUUUACCGGUAUAGGAUGGGGAUGCGUCUGAUUAGGUUGUUGGCGGGGUAACGGCCCACCAAGCCCACGAUCAGUAGGGGUUCUGAGAGGAAGGUCCCCCACAUUGGAACUGAGACACGGUCCAAACUCCUACGGGAGGCAGCAGUGAGGAAUAUUGGUCAAUGGACGAGAGUCUGAACCAGCCAAGUAGCGUGCAGGAUGACGGCCCUAUGGGUUGUAAACUGCUUUUAUACAGGGAUAAAGUGACGUACGUGUACGUUUUUGUAGGUACUGUAUGAAUAAGGACCGGCUAAUUCCGUGCCAGCAGCCGCGGUAAUACGGAAGGUCCGGGCGUUAUCCGGAUUUAUUGGGUUUAAAGGGAGCGCAGGCUGAUGAUUAAGCGUGACGUGAAAUGUAGCCGCUCAACGGCUGAACUGCGUCGCGAACUGGUUAUCUUGAGUGAGUUCGAUGUUGGCGGAAUUCGUGGUGUAGCGGUGAAAUGCUUAGAUAUCACGAAGAACUCUCGAUUGCGAAGGCAGCCAACAAG